AGUGAACGCUGGCGGUAGGCCUAACACAUGCAAGUCGAACGGCAGCACAGUAAGAGCUUGCUCUUACGGGUGGGGAGUGGCGGACGGGUGAGGAAUACAUCGGAAUCUACUUUUUUGUGGGGGAUAAAGUAGGGAAAAUUAAGCUAAUACCGCAUACGAACUACGGGUGAAAGCAGGGGAUCUUCGGACCUUUGGCGAUUGAAUGAGCCGAUGUCGGAUUAGCUAGUUGGCGGGGGAAAGGCCCACCAAGGCGACGAUCCGUAGCUGGUCUGAGAGGAUGAUCAGCCACACUGGAACUGAGACACGGUCCAGACUCCUACGGGAGGCAGCAGUGGGGAAUAUUGGACAAUGGGCGCAAGCCUGAUCCAGCCAUACCGCGUGGGUGAAGAAGGCCUUCGGGUUGUAAAGCCCUUUUGUUGGGAAAGAAAAGCAGCAGGUUAAUACCCCGCUGUUCUGACGGUACCCAAAGAAUAAGCACCGGCUAACUUCGUG
rnacentral:rRNA from 1 species